rnacentral:lncRNA from 1 species
GGGAUUGAAGGUUUUAAAUCACUAAAAGAAAUUACCAAACAGAUUUAUGAAAGAUCCAUUCUAUCAACUGAAGAACACGAACAGAUACAAAAAAAUAUCACAUCAGCAAAACUUUAUUUCAAAACUUAUUAUAAACUUCAUCGGAAAAAGACUGCCUGUGUGCUAACCAUUGUCUUCAAUGGUUUUUGAGUGACCCUGAAAACUGUCAUUUUCAAAGUCCCUGUGAGCACAUUCAUACAUUAGUGUGUGAUAGUUGUGAAAUGUUAUAUGGCAUAGAGCAUGAUGUGUUCAAAUGUAUUGGUUAGAUGGGAGAUGAUGACUUCAAAGAGGAUACCACCAAAAACUUCCAGGAUGCAUUACAUAAAAUCAAUGACUGGAAAGCUCAUAUUGCUAGAAAUGUGAAUCAAGAUCUUUUUCGAAUUCAAAAGCUGGAGAAUUUAAAGCGAUUUGAAGGAGUUUUGGUGAUGGACUAGGCGAUGAAAUUUCUACCAAUGAGAUACAGAGAGAAACAAACAGAUUGGUUUGGCCAAAGGGGAAAACAUUGGCAUGUCAGCGUCUGCAUUCAUAGAGAUGAAAGUGGUGAAAUUGGG